ensembl:lncRNA
CAGGAUGACAAUCAUACAGUUUAUCUGUAAUAAUUAUCACAGUGUAAAGUCAGGUUUUAAACCAACUUUAAUGAACUUUAAUGAACGUUGUCUCCAACAGUUUCUUCAGACAGAAACACUUUCUGCCUCUUUUCCACGAUCGAUUCUCUGACCUGGAGCAGGAGCUGCAGCUCAUCACACAGCUGAAGGAAGCUGAGGGUCCGUCCCACUCCUCUCUGAGUGAGGAGAGCUGCGCUGCUGUCAGGAGCAUCACCGUCAACUUCCUGUCCUACAACAAGAACCUGCUUCCUGUGUUUGCCACGCCAGAUCAGCUGUGAGGGGUCAGAGGUCAACCACAAAGACAACAAAAACACACAAAAUGACAGAAAAAUGUAGCAAAAGGAAACAAAAUGAGACAAAACUCUUUGUUGUUUCCUGUGUUAAUGUGACCCUCAAAUCAGAUACAGUCACAUGUUUGUGGCCCCGCCCCUUGUGAUAAAAGUUGACCACCUCCAGUUCAGAUGAAGUUGAUUGUGCUGACUCAUGGAGAACAUGCAAUAGCAGCUUCUACAGUAUAAUCUGUCCCAGCCCUGCACGGCUGCUUAAAGUAGAUGUGGAGGCUUUUAUUUUGGAGGGCAGAGGAGGGGGUGUGUCACAUUACAGCUGUAUGCUAAUGAGGCUGAGCUGAAGCCUGUGUGUAAAAUAACCACACACACACAAAUACAAGUGUGUGUGUCCCUUUUCAUUAUGUUUAAGUCUUCCUGACAGUAGACAGACAAAUACGACCAAUCAGACGACCCUCAGUUCAGUUUUUUAUGGAACCUCAAAUUAAAUGUACAAAAUGAUUCCAGAAAUACACAAAAGAAUCACCAACAUCACACAAACAUAGCUCUAGAACACUUAGAACCUGUACUACAAAGCUGGGUUCCCUCUUCUUUCUCUCUCUCUAACUUCCUGGAUUUAUCAGUGUGUGCUGUACUUCUUACCAGGCUAAAUCACCAUGGUAACUUAAACUUAGUCUGGACAUGGUUAUGAAGUGGAUCAGAUCUGAGCGAGUACUACAGUCCCGCCUCCUGACCAAUCAGUUCUCUUGUAAAAUGAGCUGCACAUUGUUAGAAGAUCCUGGUUGGUGCAGAUCUGAUUCUGAGUUUAAAAAAGAAAGAUUAUUAAUGGAUUAAUUAAUCCUUUCAUUUAGUGAUGACAUCAUUUUGGAAAGAUAUAGAUUUAUAUCUGAUGGUCUGAUCUACACUCAUUCUCUAUAGCAUCAACAGGAACAUCCUACAGUGAAACAAUGUGUUCUCAUCCCAGUGUCCAUCCAUCCAUCUACUGCCGGGUCGUGGGGGCAGCAUCCUUAGAAGGGAGGCCCAGACUUCCCUCUCUUCACCCACUUCAUCCAACUCUUCCCAGAGGCGUUCCCAGACCAGCCCAGAGACAUAGUCCCUCCAGCGUGUCCUGGGUCUUCCUCUGAUAAACUCAUUUUGCCCACUUGUACCCACCAUCUUGUACUUUGGGUCGUGACCCAAAGCUCGUGACCAUAGGUGAGGAUAGGAACGUUGACUGACUGGUAAUUUCAGAGCACGGCUCCCUCUGAGCCACCAUGGAUCAACGCAGUCUGCACUAAUCCACCUGUCCACCUCCCGCUACAUCCUCCCCUCACUCCUGAACCAGACCCUGAGGUACUUAAACUCCUCCACUUGGGGCAGGACCUCAUCUCCAACCUGGAGAAGUCACUCCAUCUUUUUCAGACUUAGAGUAGCUGAUUUUCAUCUCGACCGCUUCACACUGGGCUGUGAACUGAUCCAGGGAGAGCUGAAGGUCACGACCUGAUGGAGCCAACAGGACCACAUCAUAUGGAAAACGUAGUGACCCAAUCCUGAGAUCCCUCAGGAAUCCCUGAGGGCCACGGUCGAAUAGAGGAACACGUGUAGAAACACGUGUGUGCUGUAAUAAAGUCAAACUGUCCGUUUCUCA